rnacentral:rRNA from 1 species
AACCAUUAACGGUGGAUCACUCGGCUCGAGGUUCGAUGAAGAACGUGGCAAAAUGCGAUAAUUGAUGCGAUUCGCAAGCCUUGUGAGUCAUCAAGUUUUUGAACGCAAAUGGCGCGAUAGGUUUAAGCCUAUUGCAUGUCUGGUUGAGGGUUG